GAUGAACGCUGGCGGCGUGCCUAAUACAUGCAAGUCGAGCGAACAGACGAGGAGCUUGCUCCUCUGACGUUAGCGGCGGACGGGUGAGUAACACGUGGAUAACCUACCUAUAAGACUGGGAUAACUUCGGGAAACCGGAGCUAAUACCGGAUAAUAUAUUGAACCGCAUGGUUCAAUAGUGAAAGACGGUUUUGCUGUCACUUAUAGAUGGAUCCGCGCCGCAUUAGCUAGUUGGUAAGGUAACGGCUUACCAAGGCAACGAUGCGUAGCCGGCCUGAGAGGGUGAUCGGCCACACUGGAACUGAGACACGGUCCAGACCCCUACGGGAGGCAGCAGUAGGGAAUCUUCCGCAAUGGGCGAAAGCCUGACGGAGCAACGCCGCGUGAGUGAUGAAGGUCUUCGGAUCGUAAAACUCUGUUAUUAGGGAAGAACAAAUGUGUAAGUAACUAUGCACGUCUUGACGGUACCUAAUCAGAAAGCCACGGCUAACUACGUG
rnacentral:rRNA from 1 species